AGCCACACCACCGGCAUGGUUCUUAAUUCUACAUGACAAGCAGAGCCCACAGACAGAGGGACAGUACCGUGGGGACUGUCACUGACCUCUGUCUUAACCCAUUGAGAAAUGCAAACAAAAGAAGAAAAGGAAGCCAUGCAGCUUGAGCUGCUCCUGGUCUCUGAGACUGAAGCACUGAGCUCAGGAGAACCUGUGGGCCCAGCUCUUUUCAUAGCCUGUGUGACCACUAUUCCUUUCCGUCAGCUUUUCUCUGUCUGGAAACAACUACAGGACAAGCGCUGGGUACGCCCGUAAGGAAUUUUCUAGAUCUGAUUAUUGAAAAUGGCAAGACCCAGCCUCGUAUGGGCUGCACCUUUCUGUGGCAGCUGAGGAUGGAGGUGGAAGAAGACAGGGAAUCAACCAUAUUGCCUGGAUGGGAAGGACAGAAACAAAUGAGUCGUUUGUCAUGCAGGUCUAUACCUGUACACAUCAGCAGAUCUUUCAAAUGCUACCUGAAAAGGCCUCCCUUCUGGCUGGCUGCCACGCUUUUCUAAGGGGAGGCACACCACGCAUGAGCAGAACUGUCUGUGGCUGACUACAGACAGGAACAAGUCUGUCGGACCACCCAUCGCUAAACACAUGGAACAUCGUUCCUGACAUAACCAGAGUUGCCCUGGUGAACUUGCCACAGAGAAGCAAGAAAAGAAAAGGAUUGGGAGAAAUCCAGCUAAUGGCGGUCAAGCAGCUGUCGGAGAAUCACAUCCGAAGGACGGUCUGUGGCCCCUGCGCCCUGAGCUGGAACAGUGACGUUAUCUUCGAAACGAGCACACUGUGGUCGGUUACUGAUGUCUGCCAACUGCUUAGGAAAGGGUGUAUGCGGCCUGUGUGUCAGUCCUGCUCUUGUUGGCACGAGACAGUGUUUUAGACCAUGGUGUUUACUGAUCUUUCCUUUUAAAAAGACAACCAGCCUUUGCCUUCUUCUUCAGGAGCCCAUGCAGGUAUCCGCCUGCUGCCCAGGCAAGAGACUUAUCAUAGUUUAAGCAGAGUCUUUCCAAGGUCUCUGAUCUAAUGAGCAGUAAAUUCCACUUAACAUGUGUCUCCAAACUCUAUAAAUGGAAAUCCCUACAGAUUGGCCUUCUCUUUUCCUUUGCAACAGAUGUUCAACACAGCAGGCUUUCCCAUGCCUUAGCACCAACUGCCACUCUCAGAUCUCCCAGAGCUGACCAUGGCCAGGGAAGCAUCCAUGACAUCUGCCGCUUGACCUCUCACAGAAGGCUCAGUAGGUGGAUAUGAAUUAUGGCAUGGCAGCCACCACUUUUUGUCACAACCGACUCUCUAGAAGCACUUGUACCCUAAUGGCAUUGCCAGCUACGCCUUACUGGGUGGAGCACAGUACAGACAUGCCACUCACCCUCUUCCUUUAUUGUUCCACUGCCUGGAUCUUUGUCAAUUUUAUAAAAUUAACAUUUUCCUUAAAAAUUGAAAAGUCUUGUGUUCAGAGACCUUCCUUCAUAGUGUGCUUCGGCUGCUCUGACGCGGUGCCCUAGACAGAGUGACUCCAACAACAGGUAUUUUCUUCUCACAGUUCUGGAAGCCAAGGCAAGCCCAAGGUACCUGCUGGCAUAUUCUGUCAGGGGCUGGCUUUCUGGUCUGAAGACUGUCACGGUGCUGUGUCCUCACGGUGGAGGAGAUACUAUUCUUUCCUCACCUUAGGAAAGACACUAGUCCCACCAAGAACCCUGCCCUGUGUCCUCAUCUAAACUGACCUGCUACCAAGAGACCCACCCUCAAAUAACCUCACAUUGGGGGUUAUAGCAUCAGUAUACACAUUCCAUAGAAUGCCCAUAUCUGUAAGGGGUACUUUUGAGACACAGUAUUGCCACACACCUCAAGCAGCCUUAAACUCAAGAACCUCCCAUCUCAGCCACCCAGAUCUGGGAUUUUAGGUCUGAGGCUUUGUUUGCAAACAAACUUUCUAACACUAAAGAGUUUUGAUGUGCCUUUUGAUCUGAGUUUGUGCUUGAAGAAGGCUACUGGUGAUACAGGGAGAACAGAACUUUAAGAACCUUGAGAUUUAAAAAGGACGCGACACACACACCAGUAGUCUCAGCAGUUAGGAGGUAGAGGGAGGAGGACCUUAAUUUGAGGCCAGUCUGUGCUACAUAAAGAGAGCAUCUCAAAAAAAUUUAAGAUUUAGAAAGACAAUGCUCCCUUUUUUCAGGUUUGAAGAGAGCAGUGGGUGACUGAGUUACUAUUACUAAUAGCAGAAAAAUGCCCCAGUGAACUGUGUGGGUGAACAUAGGAUCCAGUAGUGAGGUGGGGGUUGGGCUAUUUAGGCUGUUUCCUGAGAAGUGAAUUGACAAUUCCGCUUGUUGAGUUGUUGAUGCUGUGCUGAAGCAGGAGUGCCAUGAUUUUGAGCUAGUUAUUCAGUCUCUCUAAGCCUCAGUGGUGUCACUUCUAAAGAAUGAUUAAUAAUCAUUUG